rnacentral:rRNA from 1 species
UUUAUUAGAGGAGCUUGUUGAUUGAUAAGAAUUUACUCUUUAUAUUUAAAUAAAAAAAAAUAGUUUAUUCAUCUCCGUUAUUAGAUAACUGUUAAUAAAAUUAAUUUUUAUAUUUCAGGUCAAGAUGUAGCAUUUUUUAUUUUUAAUUAGCUACAUUUAUGUAUGAGUGUGGAUUUUAAAAUUUAAAGUUGAAGGAAAUUGAAUUUAAUUGUAAUAUUUAUUAUAAUAUAAAUGUGAAU